AUCGCUUCUCGGCUUUUUGGCUAAGAUCAUGUGUGAUAUCUGUUUUUGUCCGCUUAAUAUCUGGCAUGCUGGGCAUUGCCUGGCACCAAUAUUAAGCUGAUUUUUGCUUCUCGAGUUAACACCGAAGCUUGCUUCGAUUGACUCAUAGAUUGUCCCGGUCUUACAAUACCAUAAUGAUAUGUCUGCUUCAG